rnacentral:rRNA from 1 species
CCUGACUGCUAUCGGAUUGAUACUAAGCCAUGCGAGUCUUUGCAGUAAUGCAAGGCAUACGGCUCAGUAACACGUAGUCAACUUACCCUAUGGACGAGGAUAAUCUCGGGAAACUGAGCAUAAUACUCGAUAGAUCAUAAUGCCUGGAAUGGUUUAUGGUUGAAAUGAUUCGUCGCCAUAGGAUGGGACUGCGGCCUAUCAGCUUGUUGGUGAGGUAAUGGCCCACCAAGGCGAUUACAGGUACGGGCUCUGAGAGGAGAAGCCCGGAGAUGGGUACUGAGACAAGGACCCAGGCCCUAUGGGGCGCAGCAGGCGAGAAAACUUUGCAAUGUGCGAAAGCACGACAAGGUUAAUCCGAGUGAUUUCUGCUAAAGGAAUCUUUUGCAAGUCAUAAAACCACUAGUGAAUAAGGGGUGGGCAAGUUCUGGUGUCAGCCGCCGCGGUAAAACCAGCACCUCAAGUGGUCAGGAGGAUUAUUGGGCCUAAAGCAUCCGUAGCCGGCUCUGUAAGUUUUCGGUUAAAUCCAUGUGCUCAACGCAUGGGCUGCCGAAAAUACUGCAUGGCUAGGGAGUGGGAGAGGUAGACGGUACUCAGUAGGAAGGGGUAAAAUCCUUUGAUCUAUUGAUGACCACCUGUGGCGAAGGCGGUCUACCAGAACACGUUCGACGGUGAGGGAUGAAAGCUGGGGGAGCAAACCGGAUUAGAUACCCGGGUAGUCCCAGCUGUAAACGAUGCAGACUCGAUGAUGCAUUGGCAUAUAGCCAGUGCAGUGUCGCAGGGAAGCCGUUAAGUCUGCCGCCUGGGAAGUACGUACGCAAGUAUGAAACUUAAAGGAAUUGGCGGGGGAGCACCGGCAAGGGGUGAAGCCUGCGGUUC